ACAUGCAGUCGAGGGGCAGCAUGAACUUAGCUUGCUAAGUUUGAUGGCGACCGGCGCACGGGUGAGUAACACGUAUCCAACCUGCCGAUGACUCGGGGAUAGCCUUUCGAAAGAAAGAUUAAUACCCGAUGGCAUAGUUCUUCCGCAUGGUAGAACUAUUAAAGAAUUUCGGUCAUCGAUGGGGAUGCGUUCCAUUAGGUUGUUGGCGGGGUAACGGCCCACCAAGCCUUCGAUGGAUAGGGGUUCUGAGAGGAAGGUCCCCCACAUUGGAACUGAGACACGGUCCAAACUCCUACGGGAGGCAGCAGUGAGGAAUAUUGGUCAAUGGACGAGAGUCUGAACCAGCCAAGUAGCGUGAAGGAUGACUGCCCUAUGGGUUGUAAACUUCUUUUAUACGGGAAUAAAGUGAGGCACGCGUGCCUUUUUGUAUGUACCGUAUGAAUAAGGAUCGGCUAACUCCGUGCCAGCAGCCGCGGUAAUACGGAGGAUCCGAGCGUUAUCCGGAUUUAUUGGGUUUAAAGGGAGCGUAGGCGGACGCUUAAGUCAGUUGUGAAAGUUUGCGGCUCAACCGUAAAAUUGCAGUUGAUACUGGGUGUCUUGAGUACAGUAGAGGCAGGCGGAAUUCGUGGUGUAGCGGUGAAAUGCUUAGAUAUCACGAAGAACUCCGAUUGCGAAGGCAGCCUGCUGGACUGUAACUGACGCUGAUGCUCGAAAGUGUGGGUAUCAAACAGGAUUAGAUACCCUGGUAGUCCACACAGUAAACGAUGAAUACUCGCUGUUUGCGAUAUACAGUAAGCGGCCAAGCGAAAGCGUUAAGUAUUCCACCUGGGGAGUACGCCGGCAACGGUGAAACUCAAAGGAAUUGACGGGGGCCCGCACAAGCGGAGGAACAUGUGGUUUAAUUCGAUGAUACGCGAGGAACCUUAC
rnacentral:rRNA from 1 species